UUCUAAGAGAUCUCAAGCUGCCCAAAUGUGAAAAGCUUCAGUCCCUGCCUCCACUUCCCUCUAGUUUGGAGAAGUUGGAUCUUGCAAACUGUAUAUCAUUGGCGACAUUAUCUGAUCUUUCCAAUAUAAAGGGCUUACAAGAAUUAAACCUUACAAACUGUGAGAAAUUGGUAGAUUUGCCAGGCCUUGAGUCCUUAACGUCCUUGAGAGAAUUGUAUAUGAGUAACUGCAGUACCUGCGCUUCAGCAGCAAAGAAAAGACUCUCCAAGGUUAGUUUUCUUUCUUUUAGAAAGUUUAUAUUUAAUGCACCUUCAGUUUAUAAAGCUUGGUAUAUUUAUAAUGACAAAACAUCUUUUUAUAAUCUUUCCAUGUAGUAUAUUUUAUCAUCUCACCUUAAUGUUUAGAUUCAAGUUUCAAGAUAAAAACACACUAAGUAAUAUUUUUCCAAUUUUGUGAAGAACUUAAAUAUGGUAUAAAUAGAUAGUAUAUAUAAUAUUUUUUAUUGAGUUUAUUCAAACAAUAAAUAGCAAAUAAAUCACGUUUGGGAUGGAGCUUUUGAAUAUUGAUGCAACUAAUUUUGCAGGUUUAUCUCAAGAAUCUGAGAAAUCUAAGCAUGCCUGGAAGUAGAAUUCCAGAUUGGUUUACACAAGAUAUGGUUACCUUUUCAAGCCACAAUACCCGUGAUCUCACUGGGGUGAUAAUCGCAGUUGUUGUUUCCAUUAACCAUCAUAUUCCAGAUGAACUGAGAUACCAACUGCCUGCCGUGCUGGACAUUCAAGCACAGAUCUUCAAUGGCGAGGAGGCAAUAAUGACCACUGCAUUGAACUUAAUUGGGGUACCUAGAACCAACCAAGACAAUGUUCACUUGUGUCGAUAUCCCUUGGUUUCCAUGUUGAAGGAUGGUUUUAAGAUUAAAGUGACCAGGCGAAACCCGCCCUACGUACCGGGCGUAGAGCUGAAGAAAGCUGGGAUUUUUCUAGUUUAUGAAAACGAUGAUGAUUAUCGUGGCGAUGAAGAUUCACUGGACGAGAACCAGCAGUCUGUAUCAGAAAAAUUAGCCAAGUUUUUCAGCUCUCUUGAAGAAAAUGAUGGAAUUGAUCACCAAUCCAACUGCAGCCAUGAAAUAGAAGAAAAGCUUCAACUCCCAAGUAAGAAACAAAAACGUCGCCCAAUCAAAUCGUGCUGCAGUUGGUGCGGGAGGUUAAGCGUAAAAUCAUGAGAGAUUUCUGUUAUUUCACUUCACUCAAGUUGAACGCAGUAUACAUUCUUAGGAUUUAUUUUGAUGGAUAAUGAAAUAGAUUUUAGUGAGUUUAAAGACGAGGGUGACAAUAAAAUUAGUUAUGGGCAUAUUCAAGCCCUAAAGUAGCAACUUUAAUCCUAUAACAUAACCUAAUUAUUUUUCACUCAGGACUAUUCAAUAAAUUAGAUUUUAUAUAUUUGAUAUAUUUAAUCUGUUAACAACUUUAUGAUCUAAAAAAACUGAACUUUAAUUAGCGGACUCAAUUGAGCGGUUGUUUAUAUUAGAAUAUUUACCCCAUAACAUAACUUAAUUGUUUUUUCACUUGAACUAUGCUAACUUGUUCUUGUGAUUAGAAUAAAAGGAUAAUUACGAAUCAAUCUAUCUUUAUUAACUAUGUGUUAAUUUAAAUAUUAGAUAAGGGGCCCUUCUUGAAUCAAAAUAAAAAAUAAUACUUAAGAGACGAUUUUUUCUUAUCUCGUAAAUCGAAGAAUGAAUAAAUAACAAAACAUGAAAACUAAAACAUAAACUUUAAUCUUAUAAUCUUAUACCCGAGCUUGAUUUACCCCCUAAGCUAAUUAAUUUCUUAGCUAUUCGUAACAAAAGAUUGACUAAGGAAAUAAUAAAGGCUUUAUUCACAAUUUAACCCUUGAGCUAUACUUGUUUUCCCACAUUGAUACUUAAAUAUUUUUUAUAUCAAUUUGAUAUUUGAGUUUUGCAUCAUACUCGUUUUGAUACUCAAAAGUUAAUAAUAUAAAAAAAAAGUCAAUCAAAAUGUGUCACAUCAUUGAUGACAUGGCACAUUGAUCAAGUUGACUUGGUAUUGACUAACAUUGACUCUGUAUUGACCCACGGUGGUCUACGUUGACCGAGCAUUGACCAAUCUUUACCCUCUUUGAUUUAGGUUGACAAUGGAUAAAAAAUCAUUAAAAAGUAUAAAAGAAAUAUUUAAAAUGAAAAUAGCUUGUAAAAAAUUAUUUAAAAAUAUAUGAACAUAUAUAUAAAUUAUUUAAAAAUAUUAAAAUACUGCAAAAAAAUCUUUAAAAUUGUACAAAAAUGGUUAAAAAUGAAUAAUUUCCACGGAUAUUCACUCCUUUUAGUUUCCAUGGUGAUAAUAUUUACUUUUAAUGAAAUAUUUUUGCAAACACGUACAAUACAUUAAAAUUAAUAGUGUAGAUUGUGGUUUGUGAUACAUCUAACCCAAUCCCUUCUUUCACCGCAUUUUCUUCGUUUAGUGAAACGGAGUGUAUUGUACGUCAUUUUCAAGUCAUUAGAAGAAAUUAUUAUCAACAUGGAAAUUAAUAACUUUUAAAGAAUGUUUACAAAAUUUUAAUAUUUUAUAGUUUUUACAAGUUUUUAAAAAUAUUUUUAUAAUUAUUAAUUUUUUUACUAGUCAAACAUUGGUUAACACCCGGUCAAUGUAGGUCAACAUUGGUCAACACCAAGUCAACUUGCCACAUCCCCAAUUAACUUGCCAUAUCAUUGAUCAAUGUGUCAUGUCACUAGUUAACCUACCAUGUCAUUGAUGACAUGGCAUGUUUUGAUUGGCCAUCCUUUUUAACAUCGUUAGUUUUUAAAUACCAAAACGAGUAACGGUGCAAAGUUCAAGUAUCAAAAUGGGAUAAAAAAAAUUUAAGUACUAAUGUGGAAAAACGAAUAUAAUUCAAAUACUAAUUUGUGAAUAAAGCCAAUAAUAAAAGAAAUCUUUUGUCGAAAUUAAAACACGAAAGCAAGUUAAAAGGAGAGUGAGUCUCUCUCGCCAAAAAAAGAUUCAAGAUCGGGUCAGUUAUCAAUUGCUAUUGGAGUUAAUAAAUGUUGUGGAAAAGUGUAGUUUAUUAAAGUGUUUUGUAUUGCGGUAAAAAAUUGGGAUGGGGAGUUAAAAUGUUUAUUUUAGACAUGACAUGGAAAAGUAAAAAAUAAUUAAUUUAAAUUAUAUUUAAAUAAUUUAAUAUACCUAUACAUGGAAUAUAAAUUUUAAAUAUGUUUAAGUAAUUCAUAUAAAUUCGUUGUAAAAUUAAUGAUGCAUAAAAUAUUACAAAAAUUUAAAUAUAAUGAUAAAUAAUAUUUAAAUAGUUUAAUCUAAUGAUACAUGAAAUAUAAAUCAAUCUAAAGUUUUAAAUACAUUUUAAAUAACUAAUAUAAAUAAGGAUAUUUUGAUAAUUUUACUUCAAAACACAAAAAAUCAUAAGUAACUAAAUUUCAAAUUUUAAGCAUAAAAUCAUUUUUCAAUCAUAGUUUUAACCUCAAAAGUUAGGUGUUCUUCGUUACUUCUAAUAUUAAAAAGUGCUUUUAGAAUUCCAAACACAAUCAACAACAAAUCUAAAACUUUGUGUGUCUCGUUUAAGUGCCUCACUUCCUCCUAUAUAUAAGAGGAAUUACGAUCCAACUAAUCUUCUACACAAUAAAAAUAAUGGUAAACUUCAUCUAUAGUUGGUUUACAUUUUGGUCAUUUAACUUCAAAAAAUUAUAAAAUAGCCACUGAACUAUUCGAAAUUAAAUCACUGGGCUGUUAAAUCUUUUUUAAGCCUGCUGUUAAAUCUUUUUUAAGCCUAGUCAGAGAGCUCCAAGCGACGACUCAAUGAUCGAUAUGGUGGAUAUCAGUACCCAUCAAUGAGUAGAACAUACCUUAGAUUCAAGUCGAUCUAGCGGCCGGUGUUGAAGAUUGGAGAACAAAACUGUUUGGAUUUUGAUUCAUAGAUUCGUGAUGUUCAAACUAUCAUUUUAAUUAUAUUUAAUUUGGUGAAUUAUUUUUAUUACGUUAUUAAAAGUUAUUUAUUAAUUUGUGUAAAUUAUAAUCCAAGUUAAAAAUAUAUAUAGAUGGUUAGAACAUCAUUGGAUUCAAAUCUUGUUUUAUAAUCAAUAAAUUUGAAAUCGGAUAUCUAAAUCUGCAUCCUUGGUUUCAGUCGUUUGAAUGUGCCACUUUUUCCUCUUGGAAAAUAUAAAUAUGACAAUCAUACUAGUUUUCCCUUAAACCAAUACCCAUCAGUAGUAUGAAGUAGGAAAAAAAUACUGAGAAAAAUGCAGAAACUCGUCAUGUAAUUUGUUGUUUAGGAUUAUAACUGUUACUAGCUCGGGGAAAAUAAAAGAUAACAGUGAACUGGCUUUAUUUAUUUAUCACAAUUUCAACUUUUUAACUAACAAGACACUAAAACAAAGUUGAUUCAACAUGUCAGCAUCAGACAGUAAUUCUGAACAAGCAACUUUCUUGUACACCCAACGAUAAAUCAUUCUAGGAGAUUCUGUUCAGGUAUUAGUACAGACAAGGCUGACCUUUCAUAUAUGAAGAAAAAGAACACAUUCUCCCAAACACAACAAUCAAGAUGUUCAGGUACUGACUUUAGCUUUCUUUUAGAGCUCAAUGCCUCAUGUUGAGAAUGAAAAUAGAGUCUCUCUGGUUUUACCAGGAUGCAAUAUGCUUCUUUGGGUAUGACUGAAGGAGAGGAUUCAUUGGGAAAUUAAUGUUCUUCUUGCUGAUUGACAAUGACCUGUUGAGAUUAUGUUGUUCUUUCGAAACCACCACGAAUAUGCAACCACUCUGGUGAUGCACCGCGACUGUAUUCCCUCGUUGCUUGUGGACCAAAUGCCAUUCCAGUAGCAUCAAACGUUUGUUGGCCAUACUGAAAUGACAAAGCAGUUGUUAUAGCAGAUGUAAGUCUGGGGAAAAAGAAAAGAAUCUCUUCGAUGAAACAUUCCAAAGUUUUCCCCCCUAACAUGGUCAAUGCUGCUGUUGAAUAGAAUUAUUUCAUUCAACACAAAGCAGUUCAGGGACUACCUAAGCAAGUUCGAGAUGACUUGCGAGCAUCUAACUUUAGACAACUGAAACUUCAACAUAGAAAGCAUGUGUAUAUGCUAGCAACUGGAAAAUAUAAAUUGAAGUAAUUAAAUAAAACAACAAAAUCAACAACAGAUUAAAUACUAACAUCUUUAAGAGGAAAUACUUCAAUGGUAGGAUUCAUUCUUGAAUUAACUGCUUCAAGCUUCAUUGACAAGAACUGCAACAGCAGUAAUAAGAUUUCAGAAUAAAAGUUCGAGAUUACUGGGGGAAAAAUGUAAAAUAAAUACGAUAGAUGAGCAGAAGGAUGCACACACCUCAACCUGACGCUGUAGUGACUGAAUGUAAUUGAUUAUCUCAUCAAGAACAAGAGCCUCGCCAAUGACCUGAGUCCAAUAAACGACUUAGUAUGCGGCGUAAAUAUGCCAUGCUCAGGCAAACUGAAGAGAAAUUUUGAUAUGGUUUCGGUCAUCGACCAUGUCACCACAUAAGUUAUCAAUUUACCAAUAAGCAGAGACAGAUACAGCAAACCAGGGACUAGUUUUUUAACAUUUAGUAAUUAUAUAUAUUUUUGUUAUCUUUUACUAUCAAUAUUUUUUUCCUUUUAUUAAAUCUAAACAUAUACAAUUUAAAAUUUUUUAACAUUUACAUUAUAGUAUAAUAUAUUUAAUUUUUAUAUGAUAUAUAAAUUACUUAAUAUACUCAUGAUACCAGUGCUUACCCCUUUAAUUGUUAGAGUAUGCCCAAAGAUCAAUCAUGAGAUGGUUGUAAUAACAUACUUGAUUUAUCAUAUUUAUUAAUAUAAGGCGUUACCAUUAUUAUUUCAGUUUCUUUCUGUGGGUAUAAUAAAUUGUUUUAUAACAAUGUCCUGAGAAUAAUAUAAUUAUUCUUAAAAGUUCCUUAGUCAAAUAUUAUUGUUGGAUAGGACAACGAUAAUGCAUUAAGACUAACAUGUAGUUGAUUGAUGAUAAAGAGUUGUCAUUGAUAUGGAAUGUCAGAAUCGAUGCAUGAAUAUGUGUGUUAGAGAACAACAUAUUGGACUGACACGUUAUGAGUAUGUUUCUUGGACUAUUAUGUAAUUGUCAUGACAUUACUCAUAAUGAUUAAUAUGUAUAUGAUCCUCAGACUUGAGAUCAUCAUAAUCCCAACAUCGUGAGUUGUAUAUUUUGAUACAGUCAAACGUACACCGUAACUGGUUGUUCUAUAAAGGCUGAUGUUGGAUAUACCACAAUCUAUGUAGAGGGAUAUGGUUGGUCGAUAUAGGAUAAGUCCCUCCUACAUAAUGGGAGUAAUAUCUUAGGCCACUUGAUUGAGUGAGACUAGAAAUGCAUGGCCAUGCUCAAAUAAGCUGAUAUGAGAUGUCAUACUUAUUUGUAUAUCAUAGUCUACUUAAGAUGUCAAGGAAUGGAUUAUACAAGUGUGACUAUUCCAUGACUUGUGUUCAAUUUAGAGAUAAAGGACUUAAGGAUUAUGAAAAAACUAAUCUUAAAAAGGUUAUGUCGAAUCAUAAUUUCUUGUGACUUAGGUAGCAAUGAUGCAUUGCUAGGUGCCACUCAUUGUUUGUAACAUUGGAACCGUUCUAACAUUACUGCUAACGUUACAAGAACCUACAGGGUCACACCCUAUAAUUGAAAUGAACGGAAUAAAACAUAAUUGGUAUUGUGUUUGGUUGUCGCAUGAAUUAAAUUAAUUAUAGAAUUAAUUUAAUUGGGUAAUCAAAUAUCGAACACAUUAUAUGUACAAGGUUGUUGUACACAUAAUGAGAAUAUGAUUUUGGUUCGUAUAUAAAUAAAUAUAGUUUACCGAAAUCUUGAUUAUAAUUAAUGUAAUUAUAAUUUUCGGUUUUUAAACGUUAUUAUAUUUAUUUUAAUUUUGAGAAACCCUAAAAAUUAAUAUAAGAUAUAAAAUCCCAUAUUCUUUGUUUUGUGGGUCUGGCAGCCGUCAAAGCAAAGUCUUCUGUAAAAACUGUUUGGGGAUUCCUUCCGUUCAUAGUCAACUUAUAACAGCUCAAUUUUGACCCUAAUCGGACAAAGUGGUUUCGAGACCACGAAUCCGAGUCUAAAAAUAUUUUAAUAUUAUUUUAUGUGUUAAAUAUGUGUGAAAUUAUAUAUGUGAAAGUUUCGUGAAAUAAUUUUACUGUUUGUAUGCUUAAUUUGAGAAAAUGGCUAAAUCGCGUAAAGUGAAAAUUUGAGGGUUAAAUAUGAAAGUGCUUAAUUGUUUUUGUCUUUAUAAAUUGGAGGUUCUAUAUGGUAAUUAAGCCAUUUUCCAAGUUAGUGGACGGCAUUAGGUGAUAUAUAUGGUUUUCUUAUAUUAUUAAUAAAAAAUAUAUAUGUUAUAAUAAGGUAUAAUAUAUUAUUAUGUUAUAAUAAACAUUAAAAAAAGCCAUUAUCAUUUUUUUUCCUUCAUCUUCAUCACGAAACAAAACAAAAGAAAACAAAGAAACAAAGCUAAGGUAUUCGGCCAUUGUUGAGCUUGAUUCAAGGUGAGUUCUAGCUCGGGUUUUGAUAAUUUUUAUAUUUUUGAGAUCGUUGCUUCGAAUGCUAUCCGACCCAUGCUAGAAUUUUUGAUUUUGAUGAAUAUUUUGAGUUAUGUCAUUAAUGAAUAAUUGUGUUCUAUGAUGUUUGAUGAUGGAUUAUGAAAUAUAUGUGUUAGAUCAACAUGUUUUGUCUUUGAAUUUUUGGUAAAUUUGAGUAAUUAGGGCUAAAUUAAAAAAAUAAAUUUUUGAGGGACUAAAAUGAAAAAUAAAUGGAAUGCAUGGACUUUUUUGAAUACAGGGAAGAUUUGGCCUAGCUAUGUUGUUGUGAGAUUUUGUAUAAAUUGUGUUUUAUGCAAUUGAGAUUAAAUUGCAAAAAGUGUAAAAUAUUAGGGGUAAAAUGGUAAUUUGCCUAUUUAUGUGUUUUUGGAUUAAAUUGAAUGUUUUAAUAUUUAAAUUAGCUCAUUCGAGAUAUAUUUAGAUCAAGAAUCAAAGAAAUCAGAGUUAGAUCGGGGGAAAGCUAAAAUCGUCGAAUAAUCAUCCGGUUUCGAUUUUUCACCGUCCGAGGUAAGUCAACUAGCAAUUUAAUGUUAUUAAUUAAUAUAUAUAUAUAUAUAUACAUAUAUAUAUAUAUUGUAUUUGGAUGAGCUCAAAUUGAAAGUAUAUAGCUUGAAUUUAGUCAAAGUAAAAAUGAUAUGUAUAUAUAUAAAUAUAUGAUUAAUGUUCGAAUAUACAUAUAUGUAUACACAUAUAUGUAAGCUCUUGAAUUUAGUUGAAGAAUGAAUAUGGCUUAUGUAUAAAUUCUUGGUUAUUAAUCGAAAGGUAUGUAUAGUGUAUAUAUAUAUAUAUAAGGUUAGAAUGUAUAUAUAUAUGUAAGUACAUAUAUGUACAAACUAUUGGAUUGAUUAAAAAUAUAUAUGUUAUAUUUGCAUAAGUAGUUUUGAAAUGGUAUGUACAUGUGAGUUGAAAUUUAUAUGUAUAUGAUAGAAUUGAAUGAGCACAUAAAUAUAUAUUUACAUGUAUAUGUUUUUGUAUUGAGUUUGGGUAUAAUUUUUAUAUAAGUUUAUAUGAAGUUCGGAAAUACAAAUAUAAUUGAAUAUGUUUUUGUGUUAAAUUUAGGUAUGACUAUUAUAUAAAGUAUGUAUGAGACUCGAAUAUAUAAAAACUUAUAUAUGUACAUGUUUAUGUAUUGAAUUUAGGUAUGAUAAUUAUAUAAGUUUAUGUGAGAUUCAAUUAUGUAAUUAUAUUCAUGUGAAGCCUUUGAAUGGAGUUGAAGGUACAAAAUUGUUAGCUUGGAUUACUAUAAGAUGUUCGAAUGUAUGAUAUUAAUAGUAGGCCUUAAUGUAUUAAGUUAUAUAUCUGUAUAUGAUCAUAUGUACAAUUAAGUUAUUGAGCUGGAUUCAAUAUCUGAACUUUAUAUACCUAUGUGGUUUAAAGGUAUAAUUUAUAUAUAUUGAGCUAAAUUUUUAUACAUGGAAUCUUAUAUACAUAUACAUUUUGAAAGUGAUUUGUAUUUAUAUAAAUUGAGUGUUCAGGCUCGGUGCCUAGCAGGCUUGAUGCCAGUGAUAUGUUUCAGACUUUAAGUCUAGCAGGCUUGUCGCCGGUGAAACAUUUCAGACUUUAAGUUUAGCAGGCUUGGCGCCGGUGAAACAUUUCAGACUUUAAGUCUAGCAGGCUUGAUGCCGGUGAAACAUUUCAGACUUUAUGUCUAGCAGGCUAAGUGCCAGUGUAUUGAAUCAGGCCUUAAGCCUAGCAGGUUUUGUGCCGGUGAAUCUAUUCAUAUCAUGUGUUUACAUGUAUCGAAUAUGUGUAUGAUUUAGUCAUAUGGAUUUAUAGAAUAUGUAUAUACAUUUGGUCAUUGUGUUUGAUGAGNNNNNNNNNNNNNNNNNNNNNNNNNNNNNNNNNNNNNNNNNNNNNNNNNNNNNNNNNNNNNNNNNNNNNNNNNNNNNNNNNNNNNNNNNNNNNNNNNNNNNNNNNNNNNNNNNNNNNNNNNNNNNNNNNNNNNNNNNNNNNNNNNNNNNNNNNNNNNNNNNNNNNNNNNNNNNNNNNNNNNNNNNNNNNNNNNNNNNNNNNNNNNNNNNNNNNNNNNNNNNNNNNNNNNNNNNNNNNNNNNNNNNNNNNNNNNNNNNNNNNNNNNNNNNNNNNNNNNNNNNNNNNNNNNNNNNNNNNNNNNNNNNNNNNNNNNNNNNNNNNNNNNNNNNNNNNNNNNNNNNNNNNNNNNNNNNNNNNNNUGCAUAUUGUAUAUACAUAUUUAUAUAUUCAUUGGUAAGCAUUCUACGAGUACAUAUAUUUGAUUAUAAAUAAGAUGAUUAUGAGUACAAAUAUUCAAAUAGUAAUAUAUGUCGUAUUUGCGAUUUCAAUAAGUUUAAUUAUGAAUUUAUAUUAUUAUUCUUUUAUAUAUUUUUAGUUAUGCUAUAGACUUACUAAGCUAUGUAAGCUUACUUUGUUUGUUUACGUCUAUCUGUUUAUAGAUAAUAAUAAAAAAUCAAAUCAAGCUUUAAGCUCAGGGAUCGUCAGCAAGUUUAUCAUCUUAUCUAUUGUCUCGGUAUUUAAAAUAUUUAAAUUCUAACUAUGGCAUGUACAGACUAGAUAAAUGUUUUGAAGGUCGUACUUUGUUGUACUGUAUAUGAAUAUAAUAGCCAUACUAAAAUGAUUUAUUUCCUUAUAGAUUUGCUAGUUUGUAAUGUCUUUACUAGUUGGAUUAUAAUGUCUUUGUUUAUUAAAAAUGGUUAGAAGAGAAGUUUAACAUUUUGCAUAUUUAAUGUAUAUGUAUAUGUAUAAUAUAUAUGUAUUGAUUUUGAGAUGGUUGUGUUUUGUUCAGUAAUGCCUCGUAACCCUAAUUCGGCGAUGGAUACGGGUUAAGGGUGUUACACAACUGGGUGGAUUACGUAGAGGUCGGAGUCAUCAAAGAUUGCGGCUUGGUUCGACAGUAGAUCAGAUUACUUGUUGCCGAGGCGUCGCUGUCUACUCAGAAUCACCAUUCGGUAAUUUCGAAACCCUUUUUCACCCUGAUUCGUUCCUCACACUUGGAUCCAUGGUUAGGACCUUUAAUCUUAUAACAUAAUCUAAUUGUUUUUAACUCGAACUAUUCGAUAAAUUAGAUUAAAUAUAUUCGAUAUAUUUAAUCUGUUAGCAACUUUAAGAUCUAAAAAAAACUCAAUUUUAACUAGUAGACUCAAUUGAGCGGUUGUUUAUAUUAGAUUAUUCACCCCAUAACAUAACCUAAUUAUUUUUUCACUCGAGCUAUGCUAACUUGUUCUUGUGAUUAGAAUAUAAGGACAAUUACGAAUUAAUCUAUCUUUAUUAACUAUGUAUUAAUUUAAAUAUUAGAUAAGGGGCCCUUCUUGAAUCAAAAUAAAAAAUAAUACUUAAGAGAUGAUUUUCUCCUAUCUCAUAAACCGAAGAAUGAAUAAAUAACAAAACAUGAAAACUAAAACACAAACUUGAAUCUUAUAAUCUUAUACCUGAGCUUGAUUUACCCCUAAGUUGAUUAAUUUCUUAGCUAUUCAUAACAAAAGGUUGAUUAAGGAAAUAAUAAAAGCUUUAUUCACAAUUUAACCCUUGAGCUAUACUUGUUUUUCUACAUUGAUACUUAAAUAUUUUUUAUAUCAAUUUGAUAUUUGAGUUUUGCAUCAUACUCGUUUUGAUACUUAAAAGUUAAUAAUAUAAAAAAAAUGUCAAUCAAAAUGUGUCACAUCAUUGAUGACAUGGCACAUUGAUCAAGUUGACUUAGUAUUGACCAACAUAGUCUAUGUUGACCGAGCAUUGACCAAUCUUUGACCCUCUUUGACUUAGGUUGACAAGCUAUUGAGGGGUAAAAAAUCAUUAAAAAGUAUAAAAGAAAUAUUUAAAAUGAAAAUAGCUUGUAAAAGAAUAUUUAAAAAUAUAUGAACAUAUAUAUAAAUUAUUUAAAAAUAUUAAAAAAUUGUAAAAAGAUCUUUAAAAUUGUACAAAAAUGGUUAAAAAUGAAUAAUUUCCACGGAUAUUCCUUCCUUUUAGUUUCCAUGGUGAUAAUAAUUACUUUUCAUUAAAAUUAAUAGUGUAGAUUGUGGUUUGUGAUACAUCUAACCCAAUCCCAUCUUUCACUGCAUUUUCUUCGUUUAGUGAAACGGGGUGUAUUGUACGUCAUUUUCAAGUCAUUAGAAGAAAUUGUUAUCAACAUGGAAAUUAAUACCUUUUAACGAAUGUUUACAAAAUUUUAAUAUUUUUAUAAUUUUUACAAGUUUUUAAAAAUAUUUCUUUUUAUAAUUUUUUACUAGUCAAGCAUUGGUUAACUCUCGGUCAAUGCAGGUCAACAUUGGUCAACACCAAGUCAACUUGCCACAUCACCGAUUAACUUGCCAUAUCAUUGAUCAAUGUGUCCUGUCACUAGUUAACCUACCAUGUCAUCGAUCACAUGGCAUGUUCCAAUUGGCCAUCUUUUUUAACAUCGUUAGUUUUUAAAUACCAAAACGAGUAAUGGUAUAAAGUUCUAGUAUCAAAAUGGAAUAAAAAAAUUUAAGUACUAAUGUGGAAAAACGGAUAUAAUUCAUAUACUAAUUGGAGAUUAAAGCCAAUAAUAAAAGAAAUUUUUUAUCGAAAUUAAAACACGAAAGCAAGUUAAAAGGAGAGUGAGUCUCUCUCGCCAAAAAAAUAUUCAGGAUUAAGGGUCAAUUAUCAAUUGCUAUUGGAGUUAAUAAAUGUUGUGAAAAAGUGUAGUUUGUUAAAGUGUUUUGUAUUGUGGUAAAAAACUGGGAUGAGGAGUUAAAAUAUUUAUUUUAGACAUGAUAUGGAAAAGUAAAAAAUAAUUAAUUUAAAUUACAUUUAAAUAAUUUAAUAUACCGGAAUAUAAAUUUUAAAUAUUUUUAAGUAAUUAAUAUAAAUUAGUUAUAAAAUUAAUGAUGCAUAAAAUAUUACAAAAAUUUAAAUAUAAUGAUAAAUAAUAUUUAAAUAGUUUAAUCUAAUGAUACAUAAAAUAUAAAUCAAUCUAAAGUUUUAAAUGUAUUUUCAAUAACUAAUAUAAAUAAGGAUAUUUUGAUAUUUUUACUUCAAAACACAAAAAACCAUAAGUAACUAAAUUUCAAAUUUUUAAGCUUGGAUAGAAAAUCAUUUUUCAAUCAUAGUUUUAACCUCAAAAGUUCGGUGUUCUUCGUUACUUCUAAAAGUGCUUUUAGAAUUCCAAACACAAUCAACAACAAAUCUAAACUUUAUGUGUCUCGUUUAAGUGCCUCACUUCCUCCUAUAUAUAAGAGGAAUUACGAUCCAACUAAACUUCUACACAAUAAAAAUAAUGGUAAAUUUCAUCUAUAGUUGGUUUAUAUUUUGGUCACUUAACUUCAAAAAGUUACAAAAUAGCUUAAACCCGAUCACUUCUCCCUUGAUUUGUUCUCGGAUAUCUGAAUACAGCACGGCUGCCUCGUUUCCUCAACUAUCCACAAAUACGACUCUAACCCAAUGCCCUUUUUUAUUUGAAAUCGAGUUAAAUUUAAAGGAUGAAUUUGUCAAUCUUGAUACUUAGGAAAAUAGUGAAUAUCGAUUGAAAGGAUUUUUAGUAUGGAUACGUAUCUCAUGAUUCCCGACCGGAAAGAAUGCCAACCUAAAGCUAAAUUACAAUUUAGUGAAGCAUGGAUUUAAUCAUGCUUUGGUUGGCUAUGGAGUGGAUUUGAAUGAAAAUCGUGGAAGUUGAGAAGGGAAGGGACUUGGAAAGCAAUUAAACAAAUUUUGCAAAAACAAGGAAAUGGAAAUGAAAGUAGCACUAGCUACCAACGCAUCAAUUUGAAGGAAAAUAAUAAUUCUUAUUUAAUUCCAAGUGAAAUCAAGUGUCUUUUCAAGCUACCACAAAUGCCCUAUUUAUAUAUAUAUAAUUUACUAAAUUUGACCUAAUUGCCCAUUACACAUAAUUAAAAUUAAAUAAAAAUAAAAUCAGAUUUUAUUUUUAUUUUAGCUUUCACAAAGUCAAAAGAAAUCUGACCAGUCUUUGAUUAUUUCUAAGUUUUUUAUUUGGUACCACUUUAUUGACUGUUCUGCAAAUUGGUAUUUUUUUGCUCAUUUUUUGACUCAUAGCAUUCAAAUUGCAUUCUUGACAAAAUUAAAAUAUAAAAUUACUAAUUUAACAAGGAUCAAUUCAAGAAUUAACCGAUUUAAACACAAAAUAAUACAAAUUUAACAUGUUAUAAGAACUUUCAUGGGAAAACAACCUCAUGGUUUUCUGCGGUCAAAACCCAAAAUAUAGGUGUCAUCAUUGAGGACAACAAGUUAUUGUACAACACAAAACCCUAAGUGAUCAACCUAAGGUUCCUUGCCAUAGUAUGCUUAAUGUAAACCAUUUCUGUAGUGAUGGUAGCCAAAUAUGCAAAUGCCCAUAAUAUGCAAUAAACGUAAAAGCAGAAUCACUAGCUAUAUACUCAAUAGUACCACCCAAAAUUAUCAAAAGAGACAUAAAUGUGAGCUUUGAAGGACAAGGUUGCCUCCUAAAGGUUGUAUAAGCCAAGGCAACCAAAAUGGGUGUCAAUGAUCUAAACACUAUGAAAGUCUCCACAUUGGCAUGGUUCAUGAAAGUUUUGGUCAAUGAUUUACAUGUUGUGUGUUAAUGCAAUUAUACAUAAAAGUUGGUUGAUUUCUUGGUUACAUGGAUUACAUGGUUAAACAUGUUUAUUAUUGUCAUUUGAGGUGCCUAAGGGCAUAUUGGUUGUAUGUGAAUAUACUACAUGUUUAAGACUUGAUUUUGCUUGUUUUGGAUGCCAUGAUAUGACUUGUUUAUAUCCAUAAUGUUGAUUAUAGGUUGACACCAAAUUGAGUGAGAAAUAUGGCUUGUAAAAUGGCUUAUUUUCGUCCACACGGGCAGAGACAUGGGCGUGUGUCUCAGCUAUGUGUGAUACACCGCCAGGUGACACGGCCGUGUGUCCCUUGUAUCUUUUAAAGAGUGCAAGUCAAUAUAUUCAUACGGCUUGGCUCAUGGGCAUGUGGCUUGACCCUGCAGCUUUGAAAAUUUUUAAGUGUUUCCGAAAAAUUUUCUAAGUUUCUGAUUUAUUCCCGAUUUGUUUCUAAUUAUGUAUAAUUUUGAUUGGUUUUUGACAUGAAUGUUAUGUUAUAUGAAAUGUUGAAAUUUCUAUCUGUUUAAUUUGUAAACUCCGGUAAUGCUUCAUAACCCGGUUUCGGCGAGGGAUACGGGUUGGGGGUGUUAUAGGCCUUUCUAUUAAUGCCACUUGACACGUGCCCUCCAAGCAUGGUGCUGCGAGUGAGUGUCCAUCCACCCAUUUUUACUGUAGAAACUCAUAUUUUGCCCGGUAUAGGUGCUUGAUACCGAUGUCGCCAUAUAUGACCCUUCCACCAUUUAAAUAUUCUUUUAAAACAAAUUAUGGGCUAAUGAUGGAAAUGAUAAGGCAUAAAAAAUGGGAGGUGUCGCCACCCGUUCAAGCACCACCCCUUGGCACUGUUCAUUUCAUAAUAUUUUUGUAAAUAAUGCCAUGAGGAUACCAUUUUGGUAUUUAGUUAUUUUUUGUAUUAUCGGAGUAAAAAAGCCUAUUAUUUUGCUAUUAUAUUAUUACUAUUUUGUUGUUAUUUUUUGGAUAUUGCAUAACUUCUAUUUUAUUAUUAAUUUUACUACUAUUUUAAAAGUAUUUACUUUCUAAGUUGCAUCUAUUUUAGUAUUAUUUAAAUUUAUUUAAUAUUCUUUGUUUAUCGGGAAACAUUUAUUUUAAUGGUUAGAAGCAAGUCAAUGAAGAUUGUAUCAAUUUUAGGAUUAAAUUAUAAUAUUAUCAUAUACUAAUUUAUUUUAUAAAAUUUAUAGCACCAAACAUGCCAUUUUUCAUGGAUGGAGAAAAGUGAGACAUGGGAAGAUAGUUGCAAAAUUUCUGGGAAGAUAUACUUUUUUAAAAAUAUAUUAAUUGAUAAUUAAAUAAAAAAUAUUUGGAUAAAUUAUCUAGUUGGUGAUCCAAUUCUUUGAACGUUUUUAUUUUAAUCACUCAAAUUUAAAAAAAAAACUUAUAAUUUAAUCACCACCCAUUAAAAUUUUUCGGCAAAUUUAUCCACUAAUCAAAAUUCUCCUUCAUUCUUCUUUUAUGUUUUGGUAAUAUUUCUUUCUCCUCCUUCCCUAACCCAACUUUGUUCCCUUCCCAUGCCCCUGCUUCCAGCACCCGACUCGGCCAUAUCACCCCACACCAAUUCUUGAUAACUAGAGAUGCAUUCCCCUACUCUAGAACUACCCUCUGUUGUGUUAUAUACAUCUCAUCAUUGUUUGAAUUAUCUCCUUGAGGUUGUGCUGGUGGAGGCUGCAUUACCAUUUUUGGUCCUUGUUCUUGCUUUGAACUUGAUGGACGUCGAAACCACCAAAAAUAAUUCUUACAAUUAAAAUAACUCUAAAUAGUAGUAAAGAGUGUAGUAGGGUCGAGUCCACAUGGAUUGGUAUUAUAAUCAACUUUUGCGUUUAACUUAUGAUUAGAAUUUCUGUCGUGUCGAUAGCCGUGGCAAUAGUCAUGCCUCCGACUCCAAAUGAACCUAUUGAAAAAUAAACAAAUAAAUCAGGGGAUUUUUAAAAUGUUUAGAAACUAAAUAAUUGAAAUAACAUAAAUAAACAAUUAAUUAAAUUUGAAAUAAAAUUAAAUUGGGAAUUAAAUUUGGAUUUUGUAAACAAAGAUAAUAAGCUUUAGCCCUAGACUCGGUGGAUUCCGGAUUUUGAAUCAAUCCUUAAAAAUUAAUUUUCUCCUCCAAAUAAUAAGCUGGUUAUAGCACUUAAGAAUGUCAUAACUGUCAAUUCUUUCUCUCGUAGUUGAUCCCGGCACGACCUGCAAACCAACCAUUACCGAUUAUCUAACCGAGAUACACGCAUUUUCGAUUCAAGAUUCUGACAGCCUUGCGUUCUGAAGAACCUAACUCAGAUUAACGGCAUCAAUCGCACGGGUAGUUUAAACCCGAUCAUUCCUCCCUUGAUUUAUUCUCGGAUAUCUGAAUACAGCACGGCUAACUCGUUUUCCCAACUAUCCACAAACAUGACUCCAACCCAGUGCCCUUUUUUUAUUUGAAAUAGAGUUAACUUUAAAGGAUGAAUUUGUCAAUCUUGAUACUUAGGAAAAUAGUGAAUAUCGAUUGAAAAGAUUUUUAGUAUGGAUACGUAUCUCACGAUUUCCGACCGGAAAGAAUGCCAACCUAAAGCUAAAUUACAAUUUAGUGAAGCAUGGAUUUAAUCAUGCUUUGGUUGGCUAUGGAGUGGAUUUAAAUGAAAAUCGCGGAAAUUGAAAAAGGAAGGGACUUGGAAAGCAAUUAAACAAAUUUUGCAAAAAAUAAUUAAAUGGAAAUGAAAGUAGCACUAGCCACUGACUCAUGAAUUUGGAAGGAAAAUAAUAAUUCUUAUUUAAUUCCAAGUGAAAUCAAGUGUCUUUUCAAGCUACCACAAAUGCCUUAUUUAUAUAUAUAAUUUAUUAAAUUUGACCUAAUUGCCCAUUACACAUAAUUAAAAUUAAAUAAAAAUAAAAUCAGAUUUUAUUCUUAUUUUAGCUUUUACAAAGUCAAAAGAAAUCAGAUUAGUCUUUGAUUAUUUCUAAAUUUUUUAUUUGGUACCACUUUAUUGACUGUGCUGCAAAUUAGUAUUUUUUUUCUCAUUUUUUUGAUUCAUAGCAUUCAAUUGCAUUCCUGCCAAGAUUAAAAUAUAAAAUUACUAAUUUAGCUAGGAUUAAUUCAAGACUUAACCGAUUUAAUCACAAAAAAUAAUACAAAUUUAACAUGUUAUAAGAACUUUCAAGGGAAAACAACCUCAUUAUAUUAUCCAGUUAGAACCCAAAAUAUAGGUGCCAUCAUUAAGAACAACAAGUUAUUGUACAACACAAAACCGCAAGUGCUCAACCCAAGGUUCCUUACCAUAUGCUAAAUGUAAACCGUUUCAGUAGCGAUGGUAGCCAAACGCAAACGCCCAUAAUAUGCAAUAAAAGUAAAAGCGGAGCUACAUAAUAGUACCACCCAAAAUGAUCAAAAGAGACAUAAAUGUGAGCUUUGAAGGACAAGGCUGCCUCCUAAAGGUUGUAAAAGCCAAGGCAACCAAAAGGGGUGUCAAUGAUCUAAACACUAUGAAAGUCUCCACAUUGACAUGGUUCAUGACGUAAAAAUCCAAACUUGCCCAAUACCCACCCUAAAGCAAAAGUUAAGUAAUGUAAUGCAAUCAAUAAAUCUGGGUAAUUGAAUUUGGUAAUUGCAACUUUGUUUAUAACAGCGCGUAAGCUUGAACAAAAUGCUUAAACUGCUUGUAGCAUUGAAGUUUUUUAGUCGAUUCAAAUCUAAUGGUUGACAUUUUGGUGACCCAGAAAGAUUUGUAAGAUUCAAAUGAAGAAAAUGGAAUAAAAUAAUAAUAAAAAUGCAGUUGCAGCAAUACAAGAAAGAGUUUAAAGCUUUAACAGAGAAGAAACUGCAGAGAAUAGUUUUUAUUUAUAUAUAUGUAUUUAAGUUAUUCAGUAUUCAGCCCUUUAAAUAGCUGAGUUACAACGUAGGUUGUUUCCAAAAAUAUCAAUUCUGAGAAUCAGAAUACUAACAAUUCCCUUCAAAAUAGGGAUAUGCUCUAACUGUGAAACAAAUUUAUUGGAUUUCAAAUAAACAAGAAAUCAAACUAACGUUCCUUAAGCAAAUAACUAACACUCCUCCUUGGUUAAGGAACUGCAAACUCCAAUUCUCUGCCUUAGAUACUCGAACAUGUUGGCUGGAAGCGACUUUGUAAAUAAGUCUGCUAGUUGUUCUUCAGACUUGCAGUAAACCAAAGUAACUUCACCAUUCUGUUGUACUUCCCUCAAGAAGUAAAGUUUGAUGUUGAAAUGCUUGGUCUUCCCAUGGAACACUGGAUUUUUUGAGAUUGCAAUAGCUGCUUGAUUGUCAACAAAAAUCUCAGUAUCGUUUUUCUGCUCCAUAUGCAAGUCACACAUUAUCUUUUUCAGCCAUAACACUUGAUUAGCUGCUGCAGUUGCUGCAAUGAACUCUGCUUCUGCAGUGGAUUGAGCUACAAUCUCUUGUUUUUUUGAAGACCAUGAGAAAAUUCCAGAACCUAGGCUGAAACAAUAUCCUGACGUACUUUUCAUAUCAUCAAAAGAUCCAGCCCAGUCACUAUCCGAGAACCCAUACAACUUGAAGUUUUGGGACAUCUCAAACUUGACACCGUAAUCAACAGUACCUUUGAUAUACCUCAAUAUUCUUUUUGCUGCUCUCAAAUGCAUUUCACUAGCACAAUGCAUAAAACGAGAUAAAAUACUUACAGCAAACAUGAUGUCGGGCCUUGUUGCAGUGAGAUACAUUAGACAUCCAAUCAAGCUUCUAUAGUAUCCUUCAUCAACUUUAUCGACUCCAUCUUCUUUCAUCAGCUUCUCCUUUUGAUUCAUUGGUGUGCUCAUGGCUUUACAUUCAUCCAUCUGAAAUUUCUUCAAAAUUUCUUUUGCAUAUUUUUCCUGACAUAUCAGCACCUUGUUCUUACAUUGCUUGAUCUCCAUUCCAAGGAAAAAAGUCAUAAGACCAAGAUCUGUCAUUUCAAACACUUGCAUCAUUUCUUGUUUAAAUUUCUCAACCAGCAUUGUAUUAUUUCCUGUCACCAAAAGAUCAUCAACAUAUAGUGACACAAUGAGAGUAUCUACUUCUUUAUGUUUCACAUAAAUAGUGGAUUCUGAGAAGCUUUUAACAAAGCCAAGACUUAACAAAUGAGUAUCGAUCUUGCUGUACCAAGCUCUUGGAGCUUAUUUUAGGCCAUAGAGAGCCUUUUUGAGCAGGUAAACUUUUUCUUUUUCGCCUUGCUUCACAAAUCCCUCAGGUUGCUCCACGUAUAUUUCUUCUUGUAAUUCGCCAUUCAAAAACGCUGAUUUGACAUCUAAUUGGAACACUUUCCAGCCUUUUUGUGCCGAUAUUGCAAGCAACAAUCUGAUCGUAUCUAAUCUUGCAAUAGGAGCAAACGUAUCAGAAUAAUCAACACCAUAAAUUUGAGCAUACCCUUUAACGACGAGCCUUGCUUUGUAUUUGUUGACGGAGCUGUCGGCAUUAAACUUUGUUCGGAACACCCAUUUGACUCCAAUAACUUUUCUCCCUUCAGGCUUUUCUACCAGCUCCCAUGUCUCAUUUUUGUUAAUCAUUGUCAUCUCUUCCUCCAUUGCUUUCCUCCAUUUUGGAUCUUUUAAUGCAUCAUCAUGGCUGGCUGGUUCGCAAACUGCCACAUUGCAUCUUUGAUAGAUAUCUGAAAGUAGCCUUGUACCUCUAACUGGAGGAUCAUCUUCUAACUCAUUCAUCCAUUCGUCGGUUGUUUCGAAAGCACCUUUCGGUUCUUGAGACAUCUCUUUUUUCUGUGAAAUCAUCCAAUCCCACUGCUCGUCCUCGUUGAAAUGUACAUCUCGGCUAAUUGUCAAUUUUCCGGUUUGAGGAUGAUAAACCUUGUAGGCUUUUGAAACUGAACUAUAUCCCACGAAGAUGCCAGGAAUUGCCUUCUUAUCAAGUUUGUCACGUUUAACCUUUGGAACAUGAACAAAACAUAUGCAGCCAAAUACUUUAAGAAAGCUAAGUGAAUGUUUAUAACCGUACCAAGCUUCGAAUGGAGUCUUGUCUUCCAAAGCUUUGGUUGGAAGUCGGUUCUGUAAAAAAACUGUCGUGUUGGUUGCCUCUGCCCAAAAUGUCUUUGGCAACUCCUUUUCAUGCAACAUACAUCUAGCCAUCUCCAUUACGGACCUAUUCCUUCUCUCGCUGACCCCAUUUUGUUCCGGAGUGUAUGAAGCAGUAAGCUGAUGUUUAAUGCCAGCUUCUUCGCAAAAUAAAUUGAAUUCUGCCGAAGUAUACUCCUUCCCGUUAUCGGAUCUCAACACCUGAAUUUUGCAGCCACUUUGAUUUUCUACCAUUUUCUUGAACUUCCAAAACACACCAGCCACUUCUGAUUUGAAUUUCAAGAAAAAAAUCCAGCACAUUCUUGUAAAAUCAUCAAUGAAAAUAAUACAAUAAAUGCUACCUUGUAAAGAUGGUGUUCUUUGUGGUCCGGCAACAUCAGUAUGAAUUACUUGCAACUUUUGAGAACCUCUCCAAGUUGAUUUCGGAAACGGCAGCCUAUUUUGUUUACCGAAUUGACAGGCGGCACAAUUUGGAAGAUGAUCAUCAAGUUCUGGCAUUCCUUUUAUCAUGUCUUUCUUCUUCAUUUUCAGCAUUCUUUGAAGAUGACAGUGACCAAGCCUUUUGUGCCAAAUUUCCGUAGUGCAAACUUUGUUGACGUAGGCUAUUUGCUCCUCCUCCGUUGGAUCAAAUGAGAAACUUUUACCCCUCAUUUUAACCCGUAAAAUCUCUUUUCCAGCAACAUCAUAAAUGCAACAAUAGGAAUUUUCAAAGGAUACUUUAAAUCCUUUUUCUAUAAGCUGGCCAACACUCAACAAAUUUUUAUCAAUUUCAGGAACAUAAAGUACAUCUGAGAUUGUUUUUGUACCUGAACUUGUUGUAAAUGCCACGGUUCCCGACCCUUUUGUGGAAAUAUAGCCACCAUUUCCAAUUCUGACCUUCAUGACUCUCGGCUUCAAAUCCUUGAAGAGAGUUUUGUCCGGAGUCAUAUGGUUUGUACAACCACUGUCAAUCAACUAGCUUUCUGAAGAACUUUUAGUUGAAAAACAUGCUGCGACAAAUAUCUGAUCUUCCUCGUCUUGAUCAGCCACAUGGACUUCUUUAAGCUUCAACUUAUUGCUUCUGCAAACCACGGCUUCAUGUCCAAGUUGAUUGCAUUUGGUACAUUUAGCAUCUGGUCUCCACCAACAUCUGAACGGUGGAUGGCCUUUCUUUUCGCAGUGCUGACAAGGCAGAUAGUCUUUCUUUGAUUUUCUACCCUUACCUCGAGUGUGAGUGUUCGAAGAAUUUGCUGCAGAUGUUACUUGUGUUUUUCUCUCAGUAUUCUUCUUGUGCUUUCCUCCUUCCUGGUGCCUAGCUAGCAAAGCUCCUUCUACUAUUUGUUCUUGCCUCAUGAGUCUUCGCUGUUCUUGAGCUUGCAAAGAAUUCAUCAAUUCUGCCAAACUGAGUUUAGACAUAUCUUUUGUAUUUUCCAAGGUGGUUAUUGAAGCUUCAUAUCUUUCAGGCACUGUUACAAGAAUUUUUUCAACAAUUCUAGAAUCUGGAAAUUUAGUGCCAAGUAACCUUACCUUGUUGGCAAUUUCAUACAAUCUGUCUUGGUACUCUUUGAUUGUUUCUGACUCUUUCAUCCUUUGCAAUUCAAACUCCCGUAUUAAAUUUAGCACCUGCAUUCCUCGUAUCCGGUCAUUUCCUUCAUAUUCUUCUUUGAGAUAGUCCCACACUUCUUUUGCUGAUCGGAGAGUGAGAACUUUUGUGAAAACGUUUGUUGAAAUAGCAGCAAACAGAGUUGAUUUUGCCUUAGCUUUUCGGGUCUUCUUUUCCUUGUGAGUUUUGAUUUGGACCAUGGUAGGAUUGUUCGGCAGCGGAGGUAUUUCGUAAUCCUCUUCCACGGCCUCCCAAAGAUCCAAAGCCUCAAGGUAAGUCUCCAUCUUUACUGCCCACAGAUGAUAAUUCUGACCAUCAAAAACAAGAGGAGCAAUUUGAGAAAAGCUGGUUUCGGUCUCCAUUUCACACACAGAUCCUUUAAGAAAAUAGCUCGGAUACCAAUUGUAAGAUUCAAAUGAAGAAAAUGGAAUAAAAAAUAAUAAAAAUGCAGUUGCAGCAAUACAAGAAAGAGUUUAAAGCUUUAACAGAGAAGAAACUGCAGAGAAUAGUUUUAUUUAUAUACAUGUAUUUAAGUUAUUCAGUAUUCAGCCCUUUAAAUAGCUGAGUUACAACGUAGGUUGUUUCCAAAAAUAUCAAUUCUGAGAAUCAGAAUACUAACAAUUCCCUUCAAAAUAGGGAUAUGCUCUAACUGUGAAACAAAUUUAUUGGAUUUCAAAUAAACAAGAAAUCAAACUAACGUUCCUUAAGCAAAUAACUAACAAGAUUAUAAAUUUAUUCUCAAAAAAUAACUAACACCCAAAGUUAAAAACAAUGGCAGAUGCAUUAAUGGGAAUUAUAACAGGAUGAGGGUAGUAGAGAAUGUUAUAUGAUUUGACAAGAAAAAUCAACCAAUAAACAAAUUUAAAAGUAUAAUGAUGAAAUUAAAAGAGAAAUACAAUGGAAACAGAGAUCGAGAUGAAUGGUUGUGGGAAGAGCUGAAACGAGGUUUUAUGGAGAGAAGAAAGGUAUGGGGUUGGCCAUUGAGGCGUAAAGGCUGUGCACUAUAAGCAAAAUCAGCGUGUUUCAGAGGUUGUUUCCCCACGUCCCACGACUCUGGUUAGGGAAGAAUGAUGAAAUAUGACCAUGAAAAAAGUGAAAAGAAAUUUUGAUUGGUGGAAAAGUUUGACUUGGUCAAAGAAGUAUUUUAUAGUGGAUUUGGUGUGCCAAGUCAGACGUCCAUUAUGGGGCUACAAUAAAAAAAAUUCUAAGGCAGUGACUAAAGUACAAAUCUUUUAAUUUGAGUGAUCAAACUAGAUAGUUUACCCAAAAUAUUUUUAGGUGACACUGAAACGUGUUCCUCACUUGGCCUCGUAUUCCGAGUGAGCGAAUGUAAAACUUAUCGUCUCAUGGCUGCUUCAAAUGAAUCUGACCACCUUCUUUUUGCACGCACCGACAUAGGUAAUUAAUGUUACUUAAGUGACACGAAUAUUAAGUGGGAUCGAAAAGCUAAAGAGGAGAGAGAGAAGAAAUAAAAUGGAGAGCGCCGGUGUAGUUUCAACCACAACUCCGACGUCUUUCAGGCUCCGAUGGGACGUGUUCCUCAGUUUCAGAGGCGAAGAUACUCGUCACGGUAUCACCAACGCCCUGUAUUGCUCGCUUGUGGGAGAAGGCUUGCGAGUCUUUCGAGAUGAUGACGCUUUGAGACGUGGAGACGAGAUCGCACCGAAUUUGGUGGAAGCCAUCGAAGACUCGGCUGCUUUCGUUGUCAUUCUCUCUGAAAAUUACGCUACCUCCCGUUGGUGCCUUGAAGAAUUGGCGAGGAUCUGCGAGUUGCGUAGCCGGAGCCGGAGCCGGAGACUGGUUCUGCCUGUGUUCUUUGGGGUUGACCCCUAUCAUGUUCGAAAACAGAGGGGACCUUUUAAGGAAGCCUUCUUUAGCCACGAAAACAGAUUCGGAGAAAAACAGGCCAACAGAUGGAGGGAAGCCAUGGCCAAAGUUGGUUCCCUUGCUGGUUUAGUUAAAAGGUAAGCUUUUCCCCUUUUGUCUACUAAUUACCUCAAAUCUCUCGUGUUUCUGCAAUUAUUUUAAUUAAAUAUUUUGAUAUAAAUUUAAGAAAUUAAGAAUCACACUACCAUGCGAGUGAGGAAAGAAUCUUAAUUUUAAAAAAAUUAAGAUAAAAUUAUAAAUAACUUAGGUUUUAAAUAAUUUUAUUGAGAUUUAAGAAGUUAGAAAGAUAAAUUUAAAUUUAGUGUUAAUGAUUGUUUUAGGUUUUUAUUUAGUUAACAAUCUAUAUUUCAAAUUAAUUCGCUUAUCUAGCUUUCAUACACACAAAUUGAUAGUGUGUGUUAUUUAAAUUUUAAAUUAAUUGCAAAUUUUAGCUUAUAAUUAAAAAAAAAAAGUAGAAAUUUGUGUUUAUUAUUAAGUAAUUUAUUGCAUGAUUAUAAAAUGAAUUUAGUUAAUAUAAGGUGUUUAUGAGCCGUGGUCCUAUGGUAUUAACUAUUAAUAUAAUGUAUAGUUGCUUUAGUCUAACCCUCAAAAAAAUUUGAAAUGAUUGAAGUUUUUCUAUUUAGAAUUGUCUUGGGUCUAAUUUCUAUUACUUUGGUUGGAUUAAUCGUAACUGCAUAUUUACAAUACAAGCCUGGUGAUCAGUUAAACCUUUGAUUAAUUAACUUACCUUACCUUUUUUUACUAACCCCUUUAAUUCUUUAAUUUUAAUUUAAUUCAAUGAGGUUAAAUUCGAAUUGCUGUUCAAAAUUUUUUCAGUUUGGUGUAAUUUUCGAACUAACAAAAGUAAAAUCACGCUCUGUAGGAUUUGAACCUAUGACAUUGGGUUUUGGUCUUGAACUAUGAACAUUAAAUUUUGUUCAAAACCAUUUAUAUUUAUAAACAACUAACUAAAUUCAUUUAAGCUUAUUUAUAUAUUUUUUAUUAAAUAAAAUAUAAUUAUUUUUAUUUAAUAUUUAGUAAUUAUAUAUAUUUUGUCAUCUUUUACUAUCAAUAUUUUUUUUCCUUUUAUUAAAUCUAAACAUAUACAAUUUAAAAUUUUUUAACAUUUACAUUAUAGUAUAAUAUAUUUAAUUUUUAUAUAAUAUAUAAAUUACUUGAUAUACUCAUGACCAGUGUUUACCCCUUUAAUAAGCCUACAGAACGUGGAUGAUUUGUAAUUGGGCUCGCUUCAGUAGAUAUCUUGAAAAACCAAAAUAAAAUAUAACACAAUCUCCGAUUCAUUCAAGGAUUUGAUCAUUGAUACAAAAAUGAUUUCAUUGCUUUUUAAUAAAUUGGUUAUUGUUGCUGACGAUUGUCUAGCAACUUAAUCUUUUUACCUUCUUGAUAACCAAGACAAUCGUCAUUAAUUACUUUCCUUAUUGACAAAUAAUAUUAUAACAAUCGUUUAGGAUUUAAUCUAUCAAUAGUAACAAAAAAAAAAUCCAAUUCUGACCAACAAACAUACAAUCAAGGUUCAUUUAAGUUAGAUCGAAUGCUCACACUACACGAACAAAGAUGUAGUAACUCAAGUUAUGACUAAAAUAUUGGAACUGUAUUGUAUUAAAAGUCCAAAUCGCAAAAACUUGUCAAAAUUAUACUUUAAACUCAUUUUUCUCUAAUUAGUCUCUAAAUUUAUAAUAAAUAAAAUAUAUUUAUAAAUGAUAUAAUUAAAAACAUAAUUAGAGAAAAAAUAUAACAAAUAAUUUAGAAAUUACGCAUUUUAUCAGUAACAUUGCUUUAAUAUAUUUUUCUAAACUUCUCAUUCUUAUAUGUUUAUGCACACUCAAAAUCUCGUUCAAUAGCAAUCAAGUUAAAAGUCUAUCAGCUAAACUCAAUUAAUAUUUUAAUUGUGAUCUUUAAACCAAUAACAUUAUCCAAGAGAAUGCCUUUACUUUAUCAUGAAUGAAAGAUAGUGGUUGGCAAUUAGAAUACCUAUAAAGCUGUAAAUUAUAUUAGAGUAGAAGUCGAAAUCCCAGAUUUUUUAAAAAAAAGAAAGCAAGGCUCGACACAUUUAUCUAAGAUGUUCCAAGUUUUCAUUGCUGCAAUAGUUUGAUGCAACUCUUCUUUACCAAGUAGGGUCUUCUAACUUUUACGGUGCAUUCAGGUUGGUUGACAGUGAUGAAAGGGAAUUGAUUCGGGUUCUGCUGAGAGAAGUUCUGCAACAAGCGAAUAAUACUCCUGUGGAAGUUGCAACCUACGCAGUUGGACUGGAUACGCGGGUGACAGAGCUAACAAAUCUCUUAGACGUGAAGUCCAAUGGCAUUAAAGUUGUGGGGCUUCAUGGGAUUGGCGGGAUUGGGAAGACAACCCUUGCCAAGGCUGUCUUUAACAAGAUACUCGUACACUUUGACCACCGCAGCUUUAUCUCAAAUGUCAGAGAACUUUCAAAACAAGGAGACGGUUUAGUAUCUCUCCAGAAAAAACUCAUUGGUGAUCUCUUCGGUUCCACUGGUAAUUUUCAUCUUCCUGCGGAUGAAUUCGAUGCUAAUGCCUCGAGAAUCAGAAAGAUUAUUAAUGAAAAUAUUAAUGAAAAAAGGGUUCUAAUUGUCCUGGAUGAUGUCGACCAAGAAAACCAACUGAAUGCACUAGGACUAGGUGCAAGAGUCAAAUGGCAAAAUGAUGGCAGUAUUCGGAUCAUUAUUACAACAAGAAAUAAAGGAGUUUUAAAUGAAUGUUAUGUAAAUCGGACUUACGAGGUCAGGGAAUUGCAUUUUGAUCAAGCACUAGAACUUUUCAGCUAUCAUGCGCUCAGAAGAGAGAAACCAACAAAAGAGUGAGAAAUUGUCCAAGCAAAUUGUAGCUCUCACUGGAAAUUUACCUUUGGCUUUGGAAGUGUUCGGUUCGUUUUUGUUGGGCAAGAGGAACGUAACAGAAUGGGAAGAUGCUUUGAACAAGUUGAGAGAUGUUCGUCCACACGAGCUUCAAGAUGUGCUGAAGAUAAGCUUCGAUGCGCUAGACAGAGAAAAUCAACGCAUAUUCCUAGAUGUAGGCUGCUGUUUUCUCGAUUUGCAUACCAAGAGAGAGGACGUGGUUUCAAAGCUGAAAUAGGGUUAGGAGUUCUUGAGGAAAAAUCACUGAUUAAGUUCACUGAGGGCGAUGCUCUUUGGAUGCAUGAUCAACUUAGGGACAUGGGAAAAGAGAUGGGUUUUUUACAAAGAUUUUACAAUAAAAAAGUGGUGGAGUAAUGAUCUAAAGUUUUAAGGACCUGAUAUGUAAAAUUACCAUUUAAUUGUUUAGAAAGUGAAAUGGUGCUCCUGAUAGUGUGGCGGCGCUAAACUUGAAAAGUAGCUAAGUGACUUCUUAAUCCUCCUUAUUUAUUAUUUUUUUUUAUUUUCCUUCAACUCACUUUUUUAUUUAAUAAAUAAACCUUCAACUUAUUUUUGUAGUUAAAUAAGCUAUUAAUCUAUGAUUUUUACUCAUAAAAGUCUUUUAUUUUAUUUUUAAAGUAAAUAUAUUUUACUUAAAGUAAAACUAUUUAAAAAUGUAUAAACUAAUUCGCACUUUAUGUUUAUGUGAAUUUGAUGAGAAUAGUUUAUUAAAUAAAAAAAUUUAUGUUUAUCAAAGGCUUAUAGCUAUAAUAGUCCCUUAAGAAAAAACCAAAAAAAGUUACUAAGCCCCUUGACUUAAUUUGAACCUAGUUGAGCCCUUCUCAUUAACCUGAAAAAUUAAUUAAGCUCUUACAUUAAUAAUUUUCACAUUUCGUUACAUUAACCAUUAAAAUCAAUUGACGGACCAAUUAGAUGACGAAAUAUGAUAGCCUGUGAUUUAAUUUUUCAUAUCUCAAAAAAAAAUCAUAAAAAUAUCUAUCUAUAAUAUAUAUCAAAGCACGAGUCUUGAAAAAACUUUUGAACUGACAAAAAUAUCCUUUAUUGUUAAUUAUAUUACUAAACUACAUAAGAAUAAUAAUUUAUUAAUAUUAUUAUAUAAUAAUAAAAAGUAAGAUUAAUUAAAAUAAUAAUAUAUUAAUGUGAAAUUAAUUAAUUUGGUCAUAUAUUAUAAAGGCUCUACUUAAAAAAAACAUAAUAUAUUAUUAAUUAAUAAAACUAUAAAUCUAUAAAAUCAUUGAAUAUAAUUGGAUGAAUUUAAAAUAAUAAGAAUUCAAGUUUUUUAAUUAAAUAAAAAUAUUUUUAUAUAUAAAUACUAUUUAUAAAUUUAAAAAUAAUUAUAAUUUAAUAGAAGUUGUGAGAAUUAUAUAUUUCAAAAUAAUUAUAAUUUAAAAUACAAUUAUUAUUAAAAAUAUUGUGCUAAUUUUAAAAUAGAAUUGUUAUUUAAGUAGAACUCUAAGCAUAAAAUAUAGGAAAAAGACAAAAAAAAUUGUGAUAAUUAUAAUUAUAAUUUAUUGUUAUUAGUUAAAAAAUUUGACGAUCCUAUUUUUAUUAAAGUAAAGUAGAGUUAUUACUUAAUUAGAAUUCCAAGUAUCUUAAUAUCACUUAACUAAUAUUAGAUUUAAUUUAAAAAAUUAAUAGAAAUACUAGGCAUGCUUUAUUAAAAAACCAAAAGUAAUAAUAAAACUGAUCACCCAUAAAUGUAACCCAAAUAGAAAAAAUACAUUAUAAUUAUAAACUAUUCUCAUCAAAUUUAGUAAAUUUUUUUAUUUAAUAAACUAUUCUCAUCAAAUUCACAUAAACAUAAAAUACGAAUUAGUUUAUACUUUUUUAAAUAGCUUUACUUUAGGUAAAAUAUAUUUACUUUAAUAAUAAAAUAAAGGGUUUUAUGAGUAAAAAUCAUAGAUUAAGAGCUUAUUUAACUACAAAAAUAGGUUGAGGGCUUGUUUAUUAAAUAAAAAAGUGAGUUGAAGGGGAAUAAAAAUAAUAAUAAAUAAGGAGGGCUAAAAAGGCAAUUAGCCACUUUUCAAGUUUAGUGCCGCCACACUAUCAGGCGGCACCAUUUCACUUUCUAAACAACAAAAUGGUAAAUUUGUAUAAUAGUCCUUAAAACUUUAGAUCAGUACAUUUCAGUCCUGUGCCGCCUGUGGCAGGCCCUCCACCAGUUUGGUGCCGCCUGUGGCAGGCCCUCCACCACUUUUUUUGUAUUAUUUUGGUAAAUAAAAAAAUUAAUAUUAUUUUUGUAUUUUUUUAUUUUUUUGUAAUAUUUUUGUAAAAAACCAAAAAGAGAUUGCGCAAAAUGAAAACGACGAUCCUGAAAUGCGCAGCAGGCUCUGGGAUCGAAACCAAAUCAUGACUGUCCUGCAAAAUCACAAGCUAUAUUAUAUAUAAGAAUUGUCGUGCAUAUUUGAUACUGUUGAUACAUUACUUCGUUAUACUAUUGACAAUAGGGAACAAGAAGCAUUGAGGGUAUUGUAAUGGACAUGAAGAAAGUCUAGAAUGGGAAUCAGGUGGUAGUCCAUACAAAACCAUUUAAAUCAAUGGUUCAUCUAAGAUUGCUUCAGGUGAAUCAUGUGAAACAGGAAGGAAAGUUUAAAUUUGUUCCUCAUGAACUCAAGUGGCUUCAAUGGCAAGGAUGUGCAUUGAAAACUCUUCUUUCUGAUUUUUGUCCUCAAAAGCUUGCUGUCCUUGAUCUCUCAGAAAGCAAAAUCGAAAAGCUAUGGAGCUCUUACUCUAACAAUGUAAUGACAUAUCGUUUUAGAUAUACGCACUGUCUACUUUCUUCUGCUUGUAACUAGCUAGUUUGUGGAAAUAUAUAAGCAAUAUUUGUUUGUUUCAGGUUGCUGAAAACUUGAUGGUCAUAAACCUGCGUGGUUGCCCUCAUUUGGCUUCUCUUCCUGAUUUAUCAGGACACAAAAACCUGCAAAAGAUUGUUCUCGCGUAUUGUGUAAAACUGAUAAACAUUGACAAGUCAGUUGGUACUUUAAUUUCCUUGCACCACUUGCAUAUGACAGGCUGUUUUAACCUUGUUGAAUUUCCAAGUGAUGUCUCAGGGAUGAAAAACCUUCAAACCCUUGUCCUCACCGAUUGCUCCAAUUUGAAGGAAUUACCCGAGGACAUAGGCAGCAUGAGGUCCCUCAAAGAACUAUAUGUUAAUCGAACUGGCAUCGAGAAACUGCCAGAAUCUAUUUACCAUCUCGAGAAACUUGAAAAACUGAGCCUAAAUCGUUGCAUACAUAUCAAACAGUUGCCAAGAUGUGUAGGACAGCUAGCUUCUCUCAAGAAACUUCAUCUUGAUGGAUCUGGAUUACAAGAAUUGCCUGAUUCUGUUGCAUAUUUGGAGAACCUGGAGAAAUUAAGUUUAAUAUCUUGCGAAUCAUUGACUGCAAUUCCUGAUACUGUUGGCAAUCUCAACUUAUUGAAAGAGUUGUUCAUAAAGGGUAAAGCAAUCACAGAGUUGCCACAUUCUAUCUGUUCUUUAUCAUAUCUCAAGUGCUUGAAUGUUAGAGGCAUACAGAUGAGGAAAUUGCCAAACUCAAUUCGAGGACUGAUUUCUUCAGUGGAACUUGAUAUAGAAGGCCCAUCAAUUACGUGUCUCCCAAGUCAGAUUGGUCAUUUGAGAUUACUUGAGAAGCUUGUGAUAUUGAAUUGCACAUCACUUGAAUCUCUGCCAGAUUCAACUGGGAGCUUGUUUGCUCUCACUUUUAUCAACAUAUGCAACGCCAGUAUUACUGAGUUGCCAGAGUCUUUUGGGAUGUUGAAAAAUCUCAUCACGUUAAGAUUGGACGAGUGUAGAAAGCUUCAUAAACUUCCAUCCUCAAUGGGAAAUUUGAAGUCAUUGCAUCAUUUGUAGGUGAAGGAAACUGCUAUGACAGAAUUACCAGAAAGCUUUGGCAUGCUCACAUGUUUGAUGGUGUUGAACAUGAGAAAGGAUCCCAACAAGCAAGAGCAACCAAAUUCAUCAUUUGUAGCGUUGCCAGCAUCUUUCACGAAUCUCUUAUCGCUGCAAGAACUUGAUGCUCGGACCUGGAGAAUAUGUGGUGAAAUCCCAGAUGAUUUUGAGAAGCUAGCAGCAAUAGAGAUUCUAGAUUUGGGUAGCAAUGAUAUUUAUAAACUACCAUCAAGUCUAAAGGGACUGUCAUUUCUAAGAGAUCUCAAGCUGCCCAAAUGUGAAAAGCUUCAGUCCCUGCCUCCACUUCCCUCUAGUUUGGAGAAGUUGAAUCUUGCUAACUGUAUAUCAUUGACGACAUUAUCUGAUCUUUCCAAUAUAAAGGGCUUACAAGAAUUAAACCUUACAAACUGUGAGAAAUUGGUAGAUUUGCCAGGCCUUGAGUCCCUAACGUCCUUGAGAGAAUUGUAUAUGAGUAACUGUAGUACCUGCGCUUCAGCAGCAAAGAAAAGACUCUCCAAGGUUAGUUUUCUUUCUUUUAGAAAGUUUAUAUUUAAUGCACCUUCAGUUUAUAAAGCUUGGUAUAUUUAUAAUGACAAAACAUCUUUUUAUAAUCUUU
rnacentral:lncRNA from 1 species